rnacentral:rRNA from 1 species
UACGUAGGGGGCAAGCGUUGUCCGGAUUUAUUGGGCGUAAAGAGCGUGUAGGCGGCCUGGAAGGUCAGCUGUGAAAACUCGAGGCUCAACCUCGAGACGUCGGUUGAAACCACCUGGCUAGAGUCCGGAAGAGGAGUGUGGAAUUCCCGGUGUAGCGGUGAAACGCGCAGAUAUCGGGAAGAACACCCGUGGCGAAGGCGGCACUCUGGGACGGUACUGACGCUGAGACGCGAAAGCGUGGGGAGCGAACAGG